rnacentral:rRNA from 1 species
GAUGAACGCUAGCGACAGGCUUAACACAUGCAAGUCGAGGGGCAGCAUAAAAGUAGCAAUACUUUGGUGGCGACCGGCGCACGGGUGAGUAACGCGUAUGCAACCUACCUAUCAGAGGGGGAUAACCCGGCGAAAGUCGGACUAAUACCGCAUAAAACAGGGGCACCGCAUGGUGAUAUUUGUUAAAAAUUUAUUGCUGAUAGAUGGGCAUGCGUUCCAUUAGGUAGUUGGAGAGGUAACGGCUCACCAAGCCUACGAUGGAUAGGGGAACUGAGAGGUUGGUCCCCCACACUGGUACUGAGACACGGACCAGACUCCUACGGGAGGCAGCAGUGAGGAAUAUUGGUCAAUGGGCGAGAGCCUGAACCAGCCAAGUCGCGUGAAGGAAGAAGGAUCUAUGGUUCGUAAACUUCUUUUGCAGGGGAAUAAAGUGCAGGACGUGUCCUGUUUUGUAUGUACCCUGAGAAUAAGGAUCGGCUAACUCCGUGCCAGCAGCCGCGGUAAAC